UGAGCAUUGCUGUCUGCACAUUCUCAAGCUGUUAAACUCUUUUGAAGACAAGGCUUCAGCAGUCAUUUGGAAGUGCUCUUCCAGGCUGACCAAGGCUGAAAAUGCAAGAAAUGAAACACACAGAGAAGUAAAAUUACUUUGGAAAGAAAGGACAUUUCUGAAUCAGGAUUUGGAUCUGGUUGUCUGCAACAACUACUACAAACCAGCCUGUGAAUGAAAGCUGGAUGAAGAAUUUCCUGCCUGCUCUGUUUUGGUGAAGCAGCAAAGAAGGAGGGGGAAUACUGCUUUUAAAGAGAUAACUGUAUUAAAACA
rnacentral:lncRNA from 1 species